rnacentral:lncRNA from 10 species
AAGAAGAAGGGGCCACCGAGACCCCAAGAGAGUCAGGGAGACAGACGCACCAAACGACCGACACAACCAGGGACAGGGAGGAAAAGUUGCCUAUCUGUUGGGUCAGAUUUCUGAAGACUGAUGAGGCCCAUUUUCUGGCUGGAGUGAAAUGACAUGAUCUCAGCUCACUGAAACUUCUGCCUCCCAGGUUCAAGCAAUUCUCCUGCCUCAGCCUCGCGAGUAGCUGGGAUUACAGAUAUCCUUCGAGUUGGAUUUCGACUGGGUUCUGCCAGUGGGAUGUAUCCAUGCGAGAUUCUGGAACUAACAUCAGAGAGAGUCCAAGCUUCUAACUUUUAUCAGCGGCAGUGACAAUAGUCAAGCAGCAUUGAUGACAAACGGCAAGAGUUUAGAAAGUACCAGUGACGUGCCUGAUAGAAUCUCACCACAAGAUGGAAGCCAACUCGUCAGAAGCCUGGAAAGCCCACCCAGCGUGGGACCUCUGUGGGUCCAGGAUCUUGGAAUGGUAUCCCAUGGUUCAAUCUUCUGGAUUCAACCACAUAAAUUUACCCCACCCAUGUCGUGGACCCAAGCUUCCUACCAUGUAUACUUAGCUUAAAUGCAAGAUAGUACUAUUUUGUUCAUCUUGAUUGGAGUGAGAAAUGAAUAGGUCCAUGCACAUAUAUUUCUUUUACCACAACAAGAUGAUGAAGAAAUAAAUCCAUAAUAUCGAUACUUUUGUAUAAGUUGUGUUUACAGUUGCGGUAAGAAAUUUUAUAAUUGUUGAUUUGCUUUAUAUAAUUUCUGCUUGCUUUUUAUGAUAUUUAAAACAAAAUCUAAGCAACAAAUUUUAUGUCUGAUUAGAUUUACAGAAGCUGCUUAAGUGCUUAGGGAUAAUUUGUUCAUCAUAUUUGUAAGUCUCCCUUGUUAGGUGUUUGAAGUGUUUGAAUUGGCUAAAUUAAAUUUGUAAUUGUAGUUUGAAAUAUCUAAAGGAAUUUUCUUAAUUAAGUGUUUAAAUGAUGUUAAAAGUUUGUGGGAAUUUAAUCUAUCAAAUUUAUGAGUUAAUUGAAUAUGAAUCAAUGAACAAGUAAAUGUGAUCUUGCUUUUAUAUAAAAACUA